rnacentral:misc_RNA from 1 species
GCGCUGCUGUUGCUAUUGCUUCUGGUGAUUCUCUGGCAUUUUAUUUCUUGCUUUAUCUUGGUGCAUACUAUAGGUUAAUGAAAUUAAUAUCAAUUGAAAAUUUAUAUUAUCAUCUUCAUAUCUGCAUAAUUGGUUAAGACAAGUAAGAAUCAAAAGUUUAGACAUAACAUGUCCAUUGUCAUUGUUGGCACCUUGGCUUUAUUCCAGCAUGUGAAGAGGAUUCAGUGGACUACAUUGGAAGAAGGAAAAAAAAAAAA